GGAGCAUGUUUGAGCCGAGUUUCUGCCCUUUUGGCAGAAACCAGGUUCGGCAGCCGAAGGACUUUCGGCCGCCGAACCUACCUGUGAGGCAAGCCUUUCAGCUGCCAAAGCCUGCCCCCGAAAAUGGACUUUCGUCUCUGGAGGGCACUUUCGGCCGCCGAAGGUGCCGCCGAACCUGCCUGACUUUCGGCUCUGGAGGGACUUUCGGCCGCCGAACCUGCCGCCGAAAGUGCCCUGUUCAGCCUUCCUUUGCAUGUUUCCUAUGAUUGUUUUAUGAGGUUUUAGGGGGUUUUUGGGGAGUAUUUUAGAGUCAUGUUCAUGUAUGUUUGGUCCCUCAUUUGAGUCCACCUGUGUAGGUUCGGACCCGAGGAACCGAGGACCCCAGCAGUGAGUCAGCUGCUUCAGUUCUUUGUCAGAGUUAGCCUGAGGUGAGUAGAAUAAACCUUAUGUUUUAAAGUAAUGCAAGUUUUAGCAUGAAUCAUGCAUCACGAAUGCCAUGUGAUAUAAUAGGUUGUUGCAUUAGAAUCCACGAAUAUGUUGCACUGCAUUCUUUGUUGUGGAUGUGGGUGAAUGCUGUAUGAUCCAAUUAAUCCCUGAGGAAAGACCAGGACCCCAUUCUACGGCCUGACACGGUAUGGAACGCGAAGACCAGGUGCCCAG
rnacentral:lncRNA from 1 species